rnacentral:rRNA from 1 species
AACCUCCCGGGCCACCCGGCCUGCGGCGGAAUGUUGCGUAAAGGGAAAGGUCGUAGUCAAACCCCACAGCCACGCGAACUCUAAGUUAGCCACGAAUAGGCUAUCCCAACUAACGGCGGGAAAAUCUCCACGGAGGGUGUAAGACCCGUGUGGGCGCGUGUCAAAGCUGUGCGGGCUCGGCCUCUCUUCCCUGAGAGUCGCGUUGCUUGAGCAUGCAGCGCUAAGCAGGUCGUAAACUCGAUCUAAGGCUAAAUAUAUCCACAGAACCGAUAGCGAACAAGUACCGUGAGGGAAAGUUGAAAAGCACUCUGGAGAGAGAGUCAAAAGACCGUGAAACCGCUUAGAGUAUAAGCCCAUGGCAGCUUGGAAGGCAUGUCGGUGGCGGGGCAUCUGGAAACUGCCCCUUCGCGGGGGGAGCGGAAGGGUGUUACCCUAUCUCUGUAAUGGCUCAUUAUGGUAGGGGGGUCAAGUCCACAUCCCGCCGACGGGUGGGGAGUACUGUGGUGGUGUUGUUGUUCUGCUUCCGGCUUCGCGGUUGGUUGUGGGGCUCAGCGUGCCUGGUGCUUCUUGUUAACUCGGAUGUUCAGAGUCAGAGAUAGGACACGACAACCAGCCCACCACGGCACGUUGUGAGGUCACCCACAGGCUCGACUUUCGAUCGUGGUCCUUGACAAAGAGCAGCUCAGUGCGUGUCGCAAAAGUUCCUGACCUCUGUCUUGCAACAUAGAAGAGGAAUGCGGAACGACACGCGCUCAUACGUCAGGACCGGGCGAUGACUGAGUUCUGGUACGAUCCUCUGCGACGAGUCGCUUUCUGGCCGAAAAUCUGAUUUGCCCAGUGCUCCUGCAUGUGCCGCAGGUAUGCUCGUGACGGUCUGGACCUUGAGUCCUCUCAGCCGGGUAUCAGAAAGAGUGGUGUAAAGUCCAAGCCCAUCGGUCACGUCUCGAAACACGGGCCAAGGAGUAUAGCAUGUGUGCAAGUCUAAGAGUCUCACAAAACUCGAAGGCGAAGUGAAAGCAAGAACGCGGCGGGUGAUCUAAUGUGAGAUCCCGUCAGCUAGAGGUGUGUUCGCACACCUCCGGCUUUGGCAGAGUUGAUCCUGCAGCAGUACAGCACACGUACGCUCAGGCGCAAACUCCAGGCUCACGUUUCGCACUGGUCUUCGGACUGUGCUGUGAGCACUGUGGAGCAUGCAUGCUAUGACCCGAAAGAUAGUGAACUAUGCCUGGCGAGGGCGAAGCCCCAGGAAACUGGGGUGGAGGCCCGUAGCCGUUGUGACGUGCAAAUCCAU